rnacentral:tRNA from 1 species
GGAGAGGUACCAAAGUGGUCGAACGGGCCGCACUCGAAAUGCGGUAGGGGCGCAAGCUUCUCGAGGGUUCGAAUCCCUCCCUCUCCG